AUAAUUGUGACGUCAAGCUCGCUUUUAUAUUGAGUGAAACAGCCGUCCAUAGUUAGUUGUUAGAACAGCAGCAUCAAGUCCUAUUUCUUUCAGUUCAUUAAACUUGGAAUUUGAAAUACCAGCAUACUGUUUAUAAGAAUAACAAUUUUCAUCAACAUUCUUGGAUAUUUGAUAAUGAAGGAGUAACUUAUUAUUUUUUUUUUUUUUUGGCAGCUAAAAUUUAUGUUUGCUAAUGCUGUUGGACUAACAGCUUUUUAGAUCGAUUCCAUUCAAAUUGUAAACUUGUACAAGCAGUUUUAUUGAUUUUAAGUCUUAUACAGGCUUCAACUUUAAAAAGCAGAACUGCUAUAUGACUGCAAGCUGAUCCAAAUCUAAAAAAUAAGUUGCUAAAAACUUAGGUUUUCAAUAUAUUAAUUGUUAUUUCAAAUUAUUCAUUAUAAAUUAUCUUAACUAGUAUAAUUCUAAUAAUAUAAUCAUAUUAUAAUCUUAAAUAAUCAAAAUAUGUUGUUAACCCUAAUAAUUGUUGUUAAAACAACCUGACUUAAUUGUUAAAGUUAACAUACCCAUUUUAUGUUACUAAAAAACUUAAUCUUAAUUGCUUAUGUAAACAUACCCAGCAACACAACUGCAGUUUCCAUUUAAAGUAUAUCCUUUGGAUUUGUGAACAUAAAUCCAAACAUCAUACAUUGCUGUUUUUUUUUCCUUGUCUUUGACUUGGUAAGACUUAAAAUAACAACAUUAAUUUUGUUUAAAAUUUAUUGUAGUUGUAUAUCUUAGUUAUAUUUUAGAUUCCUCUAAAAUUGUUUUUUUACCUUUGUUUUUAAAGCACAAAACUCAGAAUCAUCAAUUAAAUCAACAUAAAAAACAUCUUGCACGUGUCCACAGAUAAAAUAAUUAAAAGCCUCAAGGGAUUUAUAGCCUUUCGUACUUUCUUUGCUAUAUAAACUUUGUGAUUCUACUAAAAAUGUGUGUCAUUAUAACUGAAUUCUGGAAACAAACUAACAUUGUUUUUCCAAAAUUUUUCUUCGAUACCAUAAUGAUCGGGAAGCAAAACAUUAUUUUCUAAUGUCAACUUCUUCAAAUAAAAUUCUUUGUCAGGAUUAGAAAGAGAAUUGAAGUAAGAUGACAUUGUUUAGAUGAAACUUUAUGAAGUAGUCCGAAUUAAAAUUUAUUUUAUAUUUUUGCCUACCAACUAACGCGUAUGCGCUUAAAUUGUAAACAUUUGCAUCUAUACAGAUUUAAGCUGCUCAAAAUUAAAUGUUGUGGAGGUAAUAUAAUUUUGUUUAUAAAUAUCAAUUCAUUACUUUUUUUCCUUUCUUCUUUAAAAUGCUCUAUUUCUCUAAUUUUGAAUUUGCCACUACUAAGACUUAGUAGUGGCAAAUUCAAAAUUAUUACAUAACUCAUGAUCUAAGAAUAAUCAUUCAAUUUAAAACUAUGUUUUAAAUAUAUUAUAUAAUAAAAAAUAUACAUUAAAAAUAACAUAUAUUAAUAAAAUAUUUCUAUCUGAGUAUUACUAGUAGUCUACUAAUGAUACUCAGAUAGAAAUAUUUUAAAAGAUUUAAACUCAAGUUAAAUAUUUAUUCAAGUAUUACUAGUUUUAUUUUGAUAUUAUUUAUUAUAGGAACCACUACCAUUCUUAUGCAAGAGAAAACAUAAUCCAACCAAAAAUAACCAACAGAAUAAUAAAUAUUUAGAUCAGCAAUGGCAAGAUUUUCACGAGGAAAGAGGAAUUUAAUAUAGUGCAAAGCCAAGAUGGAGCAUGUGUUUUUCCGUAGAAAAGAAAAAUGUUGUUUUACCAGAGACACCUGCAUUAAUUUCCCUUAUAAGAAAAGCUACUAAAAAAGAUUCCUCAUCAAAUGGAGUCUCCCAUUACUGAGGAAGAAUAUAGAAUAGAAUUUCAGAAAAAAGUUAUAUAUGCACUGGUAGAAAUGAAAGAGAUGUUUGUAAAGCUCUUUCCAGUAAUUAAAAUAAUAUCAUGACAAAUAGUCCUGAAAUUUGAUGGAUGAAUUUGCAGCAGUCGUUUAGUGAUUAUUAUAACAGUUAAAAUGAUUUUCGGGUGAGAUCUGAAAGGAUUAUGAUAACAGUUUAAACGGGCGAUGUCUGAAAUGGUUAACAAAUUUUCUAAAAUAAGAGAGAGUGUCGUGUCAGUUAAAGUGACUACUACAGUUGCCGACAUAAGAAAAGGAAUAAUGACUUUAUUAAAAUACGCACUCGACAGAUCGAAUGGUCGUGGUGAGCGCGUAAAAGGCGAUUCACUAGAUGUAUAACAUUUUUUCCUAAUUGUUCUGGAACUAUUGUUAAAUAAAACAUUUUUUUAAAAACAUUUUACUCUAUUUGCAUUGUGUAUAAAGUCCCUUGAAGCAAUUUAGUUAUAUCUGAUUAAUUUACUUGAAAUACUUUGCGCAAA